GCUGGGUGCUGUGGUGCAUGCCUAUAAUCCCAGCAGCUUGGGAGGCUGAGGCAGGAGGAUCAUGAGUUCAAAGCUAGCCCCUGAAACCUAGCAAGACCCUGUCUCAA
rnacentral:sRNA from 1 species